UGAGGAAUAUUGGGCAAUGGGGGCAACCCUGACCCAGCCAUGCCGCGUGAGUGAAGAAGGUCUUCGGAUUGUAAAGCUCUUUCGGACGUGACGAUGAUGACGGUAGCGUCUAAAGAAGCACCGGCAAACUUCGUGCCAGCAGCCGCGGUAAUACGAAGGGUGCGAGCGUUGUUCGGAAUUACUGGGCGUAAAGGGAGUGUAGGCGGAUAUGUAAGAUAGCGGUGAAAUGCCGGGGCUCAACCCCGGAACUGCCAUUAUGACUAUGUAUCUGGAGUAAUGGAGAGGAUAGCGGAAUACCCAGUGUAGAGGUGAAAUUCGUAGAUAUUGGGUAGAACACCGGUGGCGAAGGCGGCUAUCUGGCCAUUUACUGACGCUGAGGCUCGAAAGCAUGGGGAGCAAACAGG
rnacentral:rRNA from 1 species